UCACGCGCUAGGCGCCUGGUUGGCUUCCCCAGAAGAGACGAGCGCUUUCGGAGGGCAACCUGAAGACAAGAGAAGCGCCUCCGCGAGCACGCCUCCCACACACGCCGCACAUUUGCCGGCGUCCUACUUUGCCUCCCUCAAGCUCCCGGAUCACAUUUUAAGCGCGACGGAUGUGGAAAUCGAGGUCACUCCGAUGAGCGGCACACACGAGAAGGUAAGCGGCGAGUGAAGCAGCAUGCGCCUCAUGCAACUUUAAUGCAACAUCAUAGACGGCUAAUCAUGUAAGAGGAGCUGCACAGUGUGGCGGAGGCAGCGAGGCUCUGAUUAGGAAAAUGCUAUUAUUUUGGAAUCCGCCCGUGCGUGCCUGUAUGCGUUUGGUUAAGCUUGGCCGGACUCUGUGAUGGAAACAGCAAGUGUGGACAUGAUGAGACUUUGCAAUGGCAACGCUGCAAUACAGUCAAAUUCCCCAUUUUGACCACAUGAAGAUGUUUCCCUCCUCCGCAUACACGCAGGCGUUCUUUUUGACGGCUACCGUGUCAUCCUGAUGACAGCAAACACAAAACAAGAUGUGAGAGGCUGUCACCGAGGGGACGGACGGCCUGUCAGCGUCGCCAUAGUGACGCUCUUCACGCAGCAUCUCAAUGACUGCUGGUGGGAGAACGCUGGGGCGGGGGGGGGGUCAAUUAAUAAGCAUCAAAGCCUGGUUAAUAUUUCACCCGUGCCAUGGCGCCGGCGGCCAGCGGGAAGUCCGGGGAUGGACGGAUCGAAAAGAACAGGAGCUUUUUUAGCUUAGCUUGAGUUCAACUUUUUGUAAAGUAUUGUGUGUUACUAUCUUCUAGUAUUUGCUGAUAAAUAAUAAACCCUCACCAAAUGUUACUUUCCACUAA